CCUUUCUUUCUUUUUUUUUUUUUUUUAGAAAGAAGCACCUGCCUUGCCUCCUUCCCUCCUUUGCCUGUCCAAAGGUGAAUGAUAUGAGUCGGGCAGUGUGCAUGUCUUCCCAGAAGAAAAAAUGAGGCUCAGAUGUGACUCGGUGUCCCCGGUGAGUGGGUGCAUCAUAAAUGUCAGACAUUGACUGCACCGAAAAGCCUUCUUGGGCUGUCUUCACCGUCUUGUUCUUGGCUUUGGACUCCUGAGCUGCACAAUAAGGAUGUGCAUGGUGCUGCUGACCGUAUGCUCCCCCGACAGUUCCAGGAAGGUGCAGAGUGCUGACAGCCACGCCCUGGAGCUUGCGCUUGCCAGUGCUUACUCUCAGAACUGACUCCUGAGGGAAGGCAAGUGUUUGAAUUGACUUUCUCCAAGGUUCUCACUCUUAGGAAGAUGCAGGUGGAGUUAUCUGUGAUUCUCCCUGUAGGUCAGUGUCUCUGGGAUGCCUUCCCCUUCCUUGACCUCCAUGGGGCCUUCCUCAGCUGAUCACUCACUGUUCCUGCCUCCCAGCCGAUGGCUCUGAUUCUCAAUGGCUUCUGCAUAGUGAAUGCUGUCAGGCAAUCUUCCUGGAUAUCUCCUUCACGACGUUGCUCCUUCUGCCUGAGAAUCUGUAACGAGCACGGAAGGUCUCUGGAUGUUGUGGGGACAUGCUGGGUUGUUCUGAUGGGCCUUUUGGGGGCUCCUGUCCGGUGCCCCGGGAAUGUCUGUGUGGGAGGACUUGGUGUGGCAAUCUGGUUGGAAGGGAGGGGUUACUGUUGUAGAAAGCACACCAUCUUUACCUCCUGCGUCGUCAUAAAG
rnacentral:lncRNA from 1 species